rnacentral:rRNA from 1 species
UACGGAGGGUGCAAGCGUUAUCCGGAUUCACUGGGUUUAAAGGGUGCGUAGGCGGACAGGUAAGUCAGUGGUGAAAUCUCUGGGUUUAACCCAGAAACUGCCGUUGAUACUAUCUGUCUUGAAUAUCAUGGAGGUAAGCGGAAUAUGUCAUGUAGCGGUGAAAUGCUUAGAUAUGACAUAGAACACCGAUAGCGAAGGCAGCUUACUACAUGGAGAUUGACGCUGAGGCACGAAAGCGUGGGGAGCAAACAGG